CCCAGCUCCGCGGCUGGGGGCUGACAGGCUCCUCCCGCGCCGUCACCCGGCACUAGCAGAUGGUCGUGCCCUUCCCUCCAUCCCGCUCACCCCCGCCCCAGGCCGCACCAUCCAUUCCCUCCUGACUACAAUGAAUUCAGUCUUCCAGCUUCCACCCACGCCCCUCGCAUCCAUUCUCCGUCUGCAGCCAAAGAGGAUAAGCUGGUGAGGGCAGGGAGUUUGGUCCAUUUUGCUCACUUCUGCGACCCCUGGGGCCUAGAACAGUGCUUGGCACAUGGUCUGCUUCACUAAAUAUUCUUUGGAUGAAUGAAUGAAGAUGACAAUGUCUAGAUUCUACAGCUUCUGAAACAGUUGUUAAUUGAAGAUUAUCCCGAGGUGGCAAGAGGGCUGUAUCAUUUUGCAUUUCUACUGGAGUGUAAGAGAGUUUGAAUUGCUCCACAUCCUCAUCAGCACUUGGCCACGUGUUCCAGAUGGUAUGGGUACAAGGGAGAAGAUCCUCCAUCAGCCUGCAGCCCUAAGUGACUGUUUGAACAGGUGUGUAGCGUGAACAAGAAAUAACUUUUAUUGCACAGAUGGCAGUGUGCGUAUGGGAACCAAAGCAACGGCUCCUGGCAUCACCAGCGCAUGAUUUUGCAGGCUGGAGAGCGGGAGAAGGACCCCUGACCCUCUUGUCAAAGAGGGGGAUGAGCAGAUAAGUCUGUCUUGCUGAAGACUCACCAACUGCCCUGGUGAGUCUGUUUGCAGCCCGGCUUCAUGAAGACUCCUGCUCUCUAUGUGAGCCCCAAAGGCCAGAUGAGUUCUACCUUGUUAGUACCACACCAGAUCAAUCCUGGCAGAGCAGAGUUCUUCUCCUCUCCCACCAUCCCAACCCAGGAGGUAGUGUGCUUUUGUAGGAGGAGUUCUGACUCAAAAUUAAACACUGGUGUCGUGGUGCCUUCAUCAUUACUGACUUGUUGAGUGAUCUUAGAAGGGUCACCUACUCUUGAGGCUUCAGUUUCCCCAGGGAAUAAUUAUCUCCGCCCUUACAGGGGCACUGCAAAAUCAAAUGAGCUAGUGAAUUGAAAGAGCUUCACAGAUUAUAAAACAUGGUACAUGGGGGUAGGACUGUGAUGCUAAUGACAUCAAGUGUGGCAUCCAAGAUAAGACAAGAUCUAGCCAAGCAAAAUAUGCAAGCUCUUUGAGAGCAGAGCAUGUGGGUGAUUCUUUUCUGUAGUCCCCCAGGGCCCAGUAAGGGCAGUACAUAGAUGCGGAAUAAGUCAUUGAAUGGAACUGAGUUUCUUUCUUCAGAAGCCCCUUAGUAGCGACCCAGAUCUGGAGGUUUUAGAUCCAAAGAAGGUGAGGCUCUCCAUCAUCUGCUAUUCUCCAGGGAUUAGUUGCUCCUCCUUUUGUACCCAUCCACCCACCCCUCUGGGCCUCAAGGAAAGAGCCUGGAAUCUGAAGCCUCCAACUUCGCCAGGUGCCCCCUCUGUACUCCUGUCACCAUAGACUUCUUUUAUCAUCACUGGGUGCAAUGUAGCUGACUACCCAAAGGGAGGGCAAUGCACAAUGUCAGCAUCUGUUAAUCAAUCAUUCUCUUUUGGAAACACCCCUCAAUGUGAAACGAAAAGCAGCAAUUAAGCUAACUACAUCCAUUUCUUGUUAUUGGAAGCUAUUCAAUAGGGUAGCUAUAAUUAUUGUGCAUCUAUGUGUCGUUUUACAGUUUUCAAUUUCUUAGUUAUGUUUAACCAAAAAUUGAUAAAUGUGUAAAUUACAGUCUAACUCACUGAUUCAUACCAUGUCUGGGACC